UACGUAGGGUGCGAGCGUUAAUCGGAAUUACUGGGCGUAAAGCGUGCGCAGGCGGUUCGAGAAGUCAGCUGUGAAAGCCCCGGGCUCAACCUGGGAAUGGCAUUGGAAACUGGCGGACUCGAGUGUGGCAGAGGGGGGUGGAAUUCCGCGUGUAGCAGUGAAAUGCGUAGAGAUGCGGAGGAACACCGAUGGCGAAGGCAGCCCCCUGGGCUAACACUGACGCUCAGGCACGAAAGCGUGGGGAGCAAACAGG
rnacentral:rRNA from 1 species